rnacentral:rRNA from 1 species
GUUUAAUAGAGCUUUUGCUCGUGAACCAAAUAUGGUCGGCUGGGUUGUCUUUGCGGAAACGCUUAGGUGACUUGUCUACGAAUUGUAAUCAUAAUAUGCGCGACGGUGAAUCCUUUGCAGACGACUUGAAUGGGAACGGGGUACUGUAAGUGGUAGAGUAGCCUUGUUGCUACGAUCCACUGAGGUUAAGCCCUUGUUCUAAAGAUUUGUUCA